rnacentral:misc_RNA from 1 species
UGAUCCUUCAGCGAGCUCACGCUCACUAUCGGAUCGUUUUAGAAACAUCAGUGGCCAACAGAUCGCCAGAUCGUUGAGCUGCAUUGGCGGGAUUUCGCCGUCUUCGUUUCUCUUUCUUCGCGGACGAACACGCGCUGGGGCUGCAGGCUUGCAGAUCCCUGGUCCUUGACUGGAUAUGCGUUAGGGGCUUGUAGCUCAGUUGGUUAGAGCGCGCGCUUGAUAAGCGUGAGGUCGGAAGUUCAAGUCUUCCCAGGCCCACCACUUUCAUCGAGUGUGCAUUCGUCUUCUGGUUACGGGGCCAUAGCUCAGCUGGGAGAGCGCGUGCUUUGCAAGCAUGAGGUCGUCGGUUCGAUCCCGUCUGGCUCCACCAGAUGGUUUGAUCACCGAGAUCCUGUGCCGUCGUCCGCGAAACAUCACUUCGCACUUGCUAGUCCGGAUGGACAGUAAGCUGCGUGAUUUCUGACAUCGUAAAGAGGAGAUCGAUCCGAGUUGGAUCGUGCGGAGAAUAUCUGCGCGAGACUUCAUUAUCUCCGGAUCAUUUCGGCGCUCGCGCGCCUUUCAGUGUAGCUCACAAGGCUGCGUCUGAGAGAUGAGCGAGUUGUAAAUGAUCCUUUUAGCGAAGCUUGACCGCCUCGCUAUCGGAACGAUCUUACGAAGCAAGCUGGUCUUUCUAGUCAAUGUCCGGCUGCAGAUAGCGUUCAUCGAGGGCGCGUGCCGCAAGGUAAUUCUGCAGACAACAUUCUGCCGAGUGUGUGGACAUUGAUAAUGAGAGCAAUCAAGUGCCUUAAGGGUGUUCGGUGGAUGCCUUGGCGCUGAGAGGCGAUGAAGGACGUGCUACGCUGCGAUAAGCC